GCCGUGGAAACUUUACACCUUCUGUGGAGACGUUCGCGUGGUCUUAAUCCCCGGCGUCAAACCGUUGGUCAUAAACCUCGGCAUAACCUAAUCCCAAGGUCGAAGUGUUGCUCUUCGCACCCUACGCUUCGACGCAUACAAUGGUCGGAGCCUCACUACUCCCUCGACCUCCACAGCACGCCGCACCCUAGCUUUUGGCUCUGUGCAAUCCUAACCGCUCUGCUAUCACUCACGAUUCAAUUUGCUUAUAGGCUUUAUUUGCUAUCUUUUCAUAUCCGUAAGUUAGAUCGUACAACUAGUUCGACUAUCGAAUCUAAGGAGCUGACGUGGACCCAGAUGGCUAUGCUGAAGCCGCGGAAAAUCUUAAGGCGCAAGGCAAGACAUAACUAA
rnacentral:lncRNA from 1 species